rnacentral:lncRNA from 1 species
AUCACAGCUCAACAAAUUUGUGGAGAAUCAUUGAGCAAGGAUAUUAUCCCCAUGAUCCAAGCAACCUCACUCCGAGAGAAGAUGUAGACAAUCAAUACAAUCACUCUGCUUUGUUUAUUCUCCAGUCUGCAGUGCCACCUGAAGAUCUUCCUCACUUCCGUCCCUUCACCUUGGCCAAGGAUUGUUGGGAGCAUAUUAUGGUGUUGUACAAGGGAAGCUCAAGCAUUCAACGAUCCAACUAUGAAGUGAUACUUGAUA